CGACAUGCUUUCGUGUGGUCGGUUUAGUUAAAAAUUUGAAAAAGUCAGAGGGCAACAAGUUAAACAUUAUAUUCUUAUAGAUUUAUUUGUAUUUGAUUACCGACUUUACCGUCAUACUCCAUCCUGUUUAGCGGAUUUGAGGCCAGAACCAGCCAUAAUAAACCUCAAGAUAUGCAAGCUUUGAUUGUGCAGGUCAUGAACCUGUCAUGAACAACAAUCUGAAGAUCAUCGCUUGGAUAAAAAGCAUCCCAUUACAUUGGAAUGCAGUUGUAUGGAUUGUCAAUCGAGUUGAUGCUCUUUCUUUUUCCCCUUUUUUUAAAUGUCCUUGUGUAUGCCCAUGUGAAUGUGGGUGUAUUCACGAGGACACCCU